rnacentral:rRNA from 1 species
UACGUAGGUGGCAAGCGUUAUCCGGAUUUAUUGGGCGUAAAGAGAACGCAGGCGGUCUUUUAAGUCUGAUGUGAAAGCCUUCGGCUUAACCGGAGUAGCGCAUUGGAAACUGGGAGACUUGAGUGCAGAAGAGGAGAGUGGAACUCCAUGUGUAGCGGUGAAAUGCGUAGAUAUAUGGAAGAACACCAGUGGCGAAAGCGGCUCUCUGGCCUGUAACUGACACUGAGGCUCGAAAGCGUGGGGAGCAAACAGG